CUCAUUUUAUUCAACUCAGCAUCUUAAAUCUAAUGUGAGUCCAUGGCAUCUGUAAUUCUGUGACAGUUCUAUGAGUUCCUAGACAAGGCUGAAUUACAGUAGGGGCAUGGUUGUAGUAAGCUUUGUAUUGCUUAUCCUGAGAUUUAAGCAUUAAAGUUAACUUGAAAGACAGCAAGGGGCUAGUCAAAUUUAUAGUUGAUUUUAACCUAAGUUGUAAUGUUGGUCUAAACAUUGUCUCAGGUUAUAAAGUCAAGGAAGUACGAACUUAACAGGAACACUCCAAUUCCCAAGUAAAAAUAAAAAACGAUUAAAAAAUGCAUUAUUUAGUAGAUAUACGCUUAGUGAAAACGUGCAUGCAUUUAAUCUCGUAUUUGCAACCUUUGCAAGCCGUCUCCAUUUUAUAGACAGUGCGAGG